rnacentral:rRNA from 1 species
AUUGAACGCUGGCGGCAUGCCUUACACAUGCAAGUCGAACGGUAACAGGUCUUCGGAUGCUGACGAGUGGCGCACGGGUGAGUAAUACAUCGGAACGUGCCCGAUCGUGGGGGAUAACGAGGCGAAAGCUUUGCUAAUACCGCAUACGAUCUACGGAUGAAAGCAGGGGACCGCAAGGCCUUGCGCGAACGGAGCGGCCGAUGGCAGAUUAGGUAGUUGGUGGGAUAAAAGCUUACCAAGCCGACGAUCUGUAGCUGGUCUGAGAGGACGACCAGCCACACUGGGACUGAGACACGGCCCAGACUCCUACGGGAGGCAGCAGUGGGGAAUUUUGGACAAUGGGCGAAAGCCUGAUCCAGCCAUGCCGCGUGCAGGAUGAAGGCCUUCGGGUUGUAAACUGCUUUUGUACGGAACGAAAAGACUCUGGUUAAUACCUGGGGUCCAUGACGGUACCGUAAGAAUAAGCACCGGCUAACUACGUG